GACGAACGCUGGCGGCGCGCCUAACACAUGCAAGUCGAACGAGCGAGAGAGAGCUUGCUUUCUCGAGCGAGUGGCGAACGGGUGAGUAACGCGUGAGGAACCUGCCUCAAAGAGGGGGACAACAGUUGGAAACGACUGCUAAUACCGCAUAAGCCCACGGUGCCGCAUGGCACAGAGGGAAAAGGAGCAAUCCGCUUUGAGAUGGCCUCGCGUCCGAUUAGCUAGUUGGUGAGGUAAUGGCCCACCAAGGCGACGAUCGGUAGCCGGACUGAGAGGUUGAACGGCCACAUUGGGACUGAGACACGGCCCAGACUCCUACGGGAGGCAGCAGUGGGGAAUAUUGCACAAUGGGGGAAACCCUGAUGCAGCGACGCCGCGUGGAGGAAGAAGGUCUUCGGAUUGUAAACUCCUGUUGUUGGGGAAGAUAAUGACGGUACCCAACAAGGAAGUGACGGCUAACUACGUGCCAGCAGCCGCGGUAAAACGUAGGUCACAAGCGUUGUCCGGAAUUACUGGGUGUAAAGGGAGCGCAGGCGGGAAGACAAGUUGGAAGUGAAAUCUAUGGGCUCAACCCAUAAACUGCUUUCAAAACUGUUUUUCUUGAGUAGUGCAGAGGUAGGCGGAAUUCCCGGUGUAGCGGUGGAAUGCGUAGAUAUCGGGAGGAACACCAGUGGCGAAGGCGGCCUACUGGGCACCAACUGACGCUGAGGCUCGAAAGUGUGGGUAGCAAACAGGAU
rnacentral:rRNA from 1 species